GUACUCACUUCCGCAGCACAUGUACUAUAACUGGAACAGUACACAGAAGGUGAGCAUGUGCAAGGAUGAAGUGCAAAUCCCUAAGUGUUCCAUAUUUAU
ensembl:snRNA U6 U6 spliceosomal RNA